CCUCUCUUCUUCCUUCACUUUCCUCUUGGCUCCCAGCAUCCUUCACAAUCUCCUCAUCUAUGCAUUUUCCUCACCAGAUUCCCCCUUUAAAAUAUUUAUUUUAAUGGAUGAUUGAAUAUCUACAAUAUUUGGAUGCCUUCUCCUAUAUUUUAUUGGAUCUUCAUUUCAACCAUAGGACAUUGAUAUUUUAUUCCCAUUUUGCAGAUCCAAAAAAAAAAAAAAACCCACACACACAGAUCAAAGAUGUGAAUUGACUUGCUUAAGGUCACAGAAGUAAUAAAUGUCAGAACCAGGAUUUAAACCCAGUCUUCUGAUCCCAAGUUCAUGAUUCUUUUCACAGCAGCAAUAUAUUCCAAAAAUAUUAGUUCCAAAAUGGAUGGUGGAGAUUAUUUCCUCCAGGAAUGACAGCUGUAUUCUAAAUGAUAUGCCAGCUCUAGUUGUUUGGGGCUACCUGGAGUGUGUGCUGAGAAGAACACAGGAACCCAUUGUAGGCUCAGUGGGGAAAAGUAUCAUGAUUGAUUCUUGAUGUCUGUCACAGGCCCCCAGGCCAGGUGCUUUCCAGCCUCAGCUUAGUUCUCUGCCGCCCCCUCCUGCAUUUUUACAGAUGGGAAAAUUGAUGCUAGGAGAUUGAAAAGAAUUGCCCAAGGUCACCACAGCAUGGUGUUGGCAGAGCCAGAGUAAGUUUUCACCUCUCCUGACUCUGUACCUGGUGCUCUUGGCCUAAGCCCUGGCCCUUCCUCUGGAGUUCUCAUGGGAAACCUGCCAAAUCACCCAUUCUUUCUGAAUCCCUUUCUGACCUUGGUUUUCUGUCUCGUAUCAGAUAUGCACAUCAUCUGAGUAAAGUGCUUGGAAAAGGAAUCCAAUGUGAAAUCCUAGCUUGCUAUUGUCAAUGAGAUUCCUCAGUCAAGGUUUCUGUUGAGGAAGUACAGAGAGGGAUAGAUUACAAUUGAUGGAUGGACACCCAGUUCUGGGGUUGGGACUUGAGCAAAUGCAGGACGGUCAAGAAAAAAUCAGAGCCAACUCAGCAUUUCAAAACUGCCUGGUGCUAAAUUUUCCUGAACAGUUUUGAUCUGAUCAGCUCAAAGGGCUGUGGAAUGGUUCAUUGCUGCAAGGAAAAUGACUGCAGGCCUGUGUUUAAAUUUAGGAGAAACAACCUGAAGACCAUAGCCAUUCAUUGAAAUGGCAUCUGUUUAAUGGUGAAGAGAAAGUGCAUAUAUGCAAAAUGAAGUGGAAAUUUGAAAAGUCUAUUCCAGAUAAUUCAAAAGAAAACUAUCGUAAUAAUAGUAGUACCUAAUUCAUGGGUUGUGGCGAAAUUAAAUGAGACAAUGCUCAUACAUUAUUUAGCUAGUGCACAGCAAACAGUAAUUGCUCAAACAACAAUGAACACCACUAUUUUUUAAUGAGAAAGGAUUGUUGGAGGGCGGGGGUGUGCGCGUGCACGCACUAGUGCACGUGUCAGUGUAUGUGUGGUGCCCUCUUUGAAUCAUCUGCUUGACUAACUCAAUUAUCUUUGUGUCAUAGACAGUCUUUCCAAUUCUCUCUACAUCUGUAAAUGGAGAACAAACCCACUUUGAACUGGAAUGUCACGUAUUGCUUUCUUCUCACUGAACACAGGCAUCUUAUUAAAUCUUCUGCUGCUCAUGAAAUGUGACUAACGAGCCUUAUUAGACUGCAGUUGCUGUUCACGAAACUGAGUCACAGAGAGGUUAAGUGGUUAGCCCAAGUUGCACAGCCCUGGAAUGGCUGGGCAAUGAUGAGGAACAGAGUCUUUUCACUUUCAAUUCAGUGUUGUGCAUUAUCUCUUCUUUAGAUUAGAAUGGAAAUUCUUCUACUUUUCCUACUUCUCCUCCCCCUUCUCUUUUCCUUGUGUGUGUGUGUGUGUGUUUUUUUUUUUUUUCCUAGUUCUUACUCUAAUUCAAAUCAGUAACUGUUUCUGAAAUGUCUUUGAUGUGUCCAUUCCUGACCACUAGACCAUGAAUAAGGCGUGAACCACACCAAUGGCAAAUGCUGGUGCUUUCCUACUCCGACUUUUCCUGUUGACAGAUUUUCUUUAAAUCACCACUGCUCCCUCUCCUAACACAGGGGAGGAUAGUUUUGACUCCAGGAAUAAAUCCAGAAUACUGAGGGUACUUAACACCUUGCCAGGAAUGUGCUUAGUGGGGAUCAGGUGACCUUGCUCUGGGCACUAAGGGAAGGUCUUCUCAUUCCUUCUGGGAAAGGCCUUCUUGGCCAAGAAAGUGUUCAUUUUCUUCUAUUGGCUGUUGAAGUAUCUGGAUGGGAAGCUAAAAUUGCCACUUCCUUGUUCUCAGAGGGAACAUGGUUUCUGGCAUUCCAGGCCUGGAAUCUCCAGGUUUCUGGGUAUAUAAAGCAAAUUUCCCAUUUAUGUUGGGAUUUUCCCUUCUGCUUGAGGAAUCUGAACUUAUGAAGUGCCCUAUGGAAUCUCUGAAGUUCUCAUUAUUAUCAUAUGGUCUGUGGUUACUAGUGCACACUUUGGGUUCAGACUCAACAUGAAUUUUGUUUCUACUCCUUGCUGGUUGUGCAGUGCUGGGCAAUUACUUAAUUCUCUGUGUUGAGGAUGCUUCCUUUCUCCUUCCCUACUUUUUAUCCUGAUAGCACACAUCACCCUCUGAUGCUGCUGUACAUACUGUACAUUUUAAUGUAUAUGCAUCUAUAUUUACUGUCUGUCUUUCCCUUCAUUGACAUAAGCUCCAUGAAGGGAGGGAUUUUUAUCCUUUUGUAUGCUUCUGAAUUCAGAGUCUGGCAUGUAGUAGAAGUUUAAUAAAUAGCUUGCUUGGUAAAUUAAUUAAUGAAUGACUUCAUAAGACAGAGUGACAGUUAUGUCAUAGGAUUGUUGUGAUGAUAAAUUUUGAUAACAUAUGUAAAUAUUUCUAAACUGCUUGGCAUAUUAUUAUAAUGAAUAAAAACAUCCACUUCUCUAAGUAUUGGCAUGAUAUCUGUAACUAGUGCUAAAAUAAAUAUUUAUUGAAAGUCAUCUGUCAUGCCAGCUACCCUCCAGAGAUAAUAAAUGUAUGUUGUCUUAAGCUGCUAAAUUUAGGGGUUUUUUGUUAUGUAGAAUUAGGUGACUAAUAUACUUUCUGUACCCCCUACUUCUGUCCCCUUUUUCUCCAUGCUCUGUGCUGUCUUUCAUCAUCUCCAGUUUCCCUUCACCCCCAUUUUUAUUUUCAUUCUACAAACAUUUAUAUGUGCCGGCUAUGUGCAGGCAUGAUGUUAGAUAUUGGCAGAACUGUCAGAACCUGUAAGAAUUAAGUCAUGUCAAAUACCGCAUGGUUCAAGAUGCUUCUCUGGACUUUUGCAAGGUACACUGAACUCUUGAAUUUCCAGAGCAUUCCCGGUACGAAUUCUUCACCUUGGCAUGAAGUGUAAAGUUUUCCUUGCUGCACUCUGUUUCAGCAAUCAGGAGUAGAAAUCCAAGCAUCUAAUAUCCAUGCAUUCCUUCAAAGAGUGUGAAGUUUCCAAAUUCAUAUGUAUCGUCUCUCCCCACGAAUCUAGUUGGUUAUCUCCUAACUCCUGUUUCUCUUGGGACAAACAGUCUCAUAUGCCAAGAAUUGCAUGUUUUUGAAUGUUUACUUUGUGUACAGUUUGACCUGUGUUAACUCAUUUAACACAUUGUGACCCAUUGUGGAAGAUGCUGUGAUUAUAGAGAAGGCAAAAUAGACACUUAAAUAACUUAACCAAUGUAGGAAUAGGUAGAACUAGAAGCUAAACCUGAGCAGUCAGAUACCUCUUGGCUUGCUAAGCCUUCCUUCGUAGUCACGUACCCUCACACACCUGGUGACAGAAAUCAUUAGUGAAAGACAAGCAGCCUAGGAAUGUGAACUUUGAGCAUCCAAACCUGGUUUUUUCCUGAUAACCUGAUGAGUUUGGCUGACUCGCAUAAUUUACUGAGUCUUGGUCGUCUCAUUUUUAAAAUGGGAAAAUGUCUACCUUUAUUUCCUGGGAUUGCUCUGAGGCUCAACACAGGAUAGUGCAUGUGAAAACACUUUGGCAACUACAAUGCAUGACACAAGUGUGAACUCUUUAUUCACACAAUGAAAAUCAAGGACAAGUCUUUCUCUGUGCUGGUUGCUGUUGCAAGAACUGAGGACACAAGGCUUGGAAAUUGCCUGCUGUAAUAGAGCUUAUGAUCAGGUAGGGAAGAGGUAGAUACGAGCAAAUGAAUGAAAAAUGGAUGUCAUGGUGUUAGAAAGUGAUUUGUACUGUAACAACAAUGAUGUAUCAACACCGAUAACAGGAAAAGAUACAUGGAGAUUUGUUUUCCAGGUUGAAAAAAAUAAGAGCGCAUUCAAAUGUCCUGAGGUGAGAGUGUGUUAGUGUGUAUCUGAAAUAGCAAAGAUGUCAGUGUGGCCGAAUUAUUGGAAGAAAUACUAGAGUUGGGGGACAAGACAGAGUAAGACCCUAUAAGUCACUAUAAAGAUUUUGCUUUCACUCUGAAUGAGCAUCCAUUGGAGUGAUAUGCUCUGACUCACCGUGGGAGGAAUUCUCUGGAGUCUGUGUCAAAGGAUGAUGAUAUCAUGACGUAGGGUGGGAGCAGUGCAUAGGUGAGGAGGGGUCAGGUUCUAGGCAUACUUUGAGGGUAGAGUGACAAGGAUUUGCUGACAAAUGAGAUAUGGAGGACGCAAGAGAGGGAUCAAGGGUAGCACAGGCACUGAAAUUGAGCACUAACAGGAUGGAAUUUGUAUUUACAAAUAUGAGUAAGACUUCAGGGAGUAGGUCUGGUAGGGUCAAGACUGGGAUAUUAUAUUGAUACGCUGUGAAGGAAGAAAUUUUCACAUCUUGACCUAUGCGGAAGUCAUUCUGGCUUAUACUUGAUUUGCCUUGAAUUUUAUGCUAAACAGGACAACCUGUUUUGUGGCUUAUCAAACAUGCAUUGCAUAUUUGCUUUAACCAUUAAAGGAAAGUGUGAACUAAAACCUCAAAACAGAGUUCUCAGGUGGCCUAGUGGUUAAGGACUCUGAUUUGUCACUGCUGAGGCUUGAGUUACUGCUGUAGCUCAGGGUCCAUCCCUAGCCUGGGAACUUCUGUGUGUCACGGGUGUGGCCAAAAUAAAUAAAUAAAUAAAAAUGGAGAAACUGUGGCUCAGGCAUCCAAAAUGGAGCCCAGUGGCCAUGGUGGAUGUGGUUGCAGACUUUUUUCUGCAUCACUUAAGAACUUGACUUUUCUGAACUAUAGCAGACUGGAGGACACCACCAGCCAUGCUCAAAACAAUAUUUGCCAGCAGCUGCCAGCUACUACCUGAUGCUUUCAAGGUCUCUGCUUAUAGAUGUGCACCCGUUUCAGUUCCCAACCAAUCCUUGCUUACAAGCACCCUCACUCCAUGCUUAUAAUUCUUGACAAACAACCUACUGUAAUUUUGCAGGUCUUGCUUUCAUUAACUUCCCCCAUUUCGUAGCCCAACACAAUUCAAAUGCUUCUCAAAUCUGUGACUCCUGGGAUAUGGUCCUCAGUUUGGCUCAGAUAAAACUCUUUGCUAUUCCUUUUAUAGAUUGGAGUUCCUGUCGUGGCGCAGUGGUUAUUGAAUCCAACUAGGAACCAUAAGGUUGCGGUUCGGUCCCUGCCCUUGCUCAGUGGGUUUUGAUCCGGCGUUGCCAUGAGCUGUGGUGUAGGUUGCAGACGCGGCUCGGAUCCCGCGUUGCUGUGGCUCUGGCGUAGGCCGGUGGCUAUAGCUCCGAUUCAACCCCUAGCCUGGGAACCUCCAUAUGCCGUGGGAGCGGCCCAAGAAAUAGCAACAACAACAACAACAACAACAACAAAAAAA
ensembl:lncRNA